AUUGAACGCUGGCGGCAGGCCUAACACAUGCAAGUCGAGCGGAUGAAGGGAGCUUGCUCCUGGAUUCAGCGGCGGACGGGUGAGUAAUGCCUAGGAAUCUGCCUGGUAGUGGGGGAUAACGUCCGGAAACGGGCGCUAAUACCGCAUACGUCCUGAGGGAGAAAGUGGGGGAUCUUCGGACCUCACGCUAUCAGAUGAGCCUAGGUCGGAUUAGCUAGUUGGUGGGGUAAAGGCCUACCAAGGCGACGAUCCGUAACUGGUCUGAGAGGAUGAUCAGUCACACUGGAACUGAGACACGGUCCAGACUCCUACGGGAGGCAGUAGUGGGGAAUAUUGGACAAUGGGCGAAAGCCUGAUCCAGCCAUGCCGCGUGUGUGAAGAAGGUCUUCGGAUUGUAAAGCACUUUAAGUUGGGAGGAAGGGCAGUAAGUUAAUACCUUGCUGUAUUGACGUUACCAACAGAAUAAGCACCGGCUAACUUCGUG
rnacentral:rRNA from 1 species